AGAGUUUGAUCCUGGCUCAGAGUGAACGCUGGCGGCGUGCUUAACACAUGCAAGUCGAACGGCAACAGAACUAGCUUGCUAGUUGCUGACGAGUGGCGCACGGGUGAGUAAUAUAUAGUUAAUGUACCUUCAAGACCGGGAUAGCCAUUGGAAACGAUGAUUAAUACUGGAUAUACCAUUCUAACUUAAGUUAGACUGGGAAACGUUUUUUCGCUUGAAGAUCAGACUAUAUCCCAUCAGUUAGUUGGUAGUGUAAGAGACUACCAAGGCAAUGACGGGUAGCGGGUUUGAGAGGAUGAUCCGCCACACUGGUACUGAGACACGGACCAGACUCCUACGGGAGGCAGCAGUGAGGAAUAUUGCACAAUGGAGGAAACUCUGAUGCAGCAACGCCGCGUGGAGGAUGACGCAUUUCGGUGUGUAAACUCCUUUUAUAUGUCAAGAAAAUGACGGUAGCAUAUGAAUAAGCACCGCUAACU
rnacentral:rRNA from 1 species